rnacentral:miRNA from 1 species
AUGCGCACUGCCGAGGAUUUC